GCCUUCAUGGUGUAAUGAUCAGCACACUCGGCGCGUAAUCAAAAGUUCCGAGGUUCGAGUCCUGGCGAGGGCA
rnacentral:tRNA from 1 species